AGUGAACGCUGGCGGUAGGCCUAACACAUGCAAGUCGAACGGCAGCACAGUAAGAGCUUGCUCUUACGGGUGGCGAGUGGCGGACGGGUGAGGAAUACAUCGGAAUCUACUUUUUCGUGGGGGAUAACGUAGGGAAACUUACGCUAAUACCGCAUACGACCUACGGGUGAAAGCAGAGGAUCUUCGGACCUUGCGCGAUUGAAUGAGCCGAUGUCGGAUUAGCUAGUUGGCGGGGUAAAGGCCCACCAAGGCGACGAUCCGUAGCUGGUCUGAGAGGAUGAUCAGCCACACUGGAACUGAGACACGGUCCAGACUCCUACGGGAGGCAGCAGUGGGGAAUAUUGGACAAUGGGCGCAAGCCUGAUCCAGCCAUACCGCGUGGGUGAAGAAGGCCUUCGGGUUGUAAAGCCCUUUUGUUGGGAAAGAAAAGCAGCAGGUUAAUACCCCGCUGUUCUGACGGUACCCAAAGAAUAAGCACCGGCUAACUUCGUGC
rnacentral:rRNA from 1 species